UAGGGGUAAUUCGGGGGCAGAGGUAUAUCCGGGCGAGGGGUGAAAUCCGUUGACCCUGGAUAGACCAUCUAAAGCGAAAGCAUCUGCCAAGGAUACUUUCUUUAACUAAGAACGAAAGUUGGAGGAUCGAAGACGAUUAGAUACCGUCCUAGUUCCAACUGUAAACGAUGCCAUCUGUCGAUUCUAUAUUUGUAUAUGUAAUAUGCAAUAUAGAGGAGAUGACCGGAAACGUAAAGUUUUUCGGUUCCGGGGGAAGUAUGGUUGCAAAACUGAAACUUAAAGGGAUUGACGGAAAGUCACCACCAGAAAUGGAGCUUGCGGCUUAAUUUGACUCAACACGGGAAAACUUACUCAGUCUAGACACUAAGAGGAUUGUCGUAGUAAUACUACUACAAGAUAUGGUGCAAAGUGGUGCAUGGCCGUUCUUAGUUCGUGGAGCAAUCUGUCUGGUUAAUUCCGAUAACGAACGAGAUCUGUUAUUUGUGUUGAUAAAAUAUAUAUUAUAUAUAUUUUAUCUUCACAAUGGAUACGCAAGAAUAAACUUGCAUGAAAGCAAGUAAUAACAGGUCUGUAAUGCCCUUAGUUGUCUGAGGCUGCACGCGUGCUACAAUGGAAAUUGCAGUACGUGUGUAAUACAUGGAAACAUGUAUUUAAACGUGUCAAAUUAUUCCGCAUUCGGGAUCAUGGAUUGUAAUUAUCCAUGUGAACGAGGAACUUCAAGUAAGUGUAUGUCACUACCAUACGCUGAUUACGUCCCUGUCUUUUGUACACACCGCCCGUCGCUGCCUAGAACUGUAUUAAUAUAAGAAAACAUUGGAGGUGUAUAUAGUUUCAAAUUUAUUUGUUAUUAUAUAUGUUGAAGAUGUUUGAUUAUAUUGGUAUGAACCAGGCAAAAGUCGUAACAAGGUGACCGUAGGUGAACCUGCGGGUCGGAUCAUUACC
rnacentral:rRNA from 1 species